AUGCAAGUAGAACGCUGAAGGAGGAGCUUGCUCUCUCUGGAUGAGUUGCGAACGGGUGAGUAACGCGUAGGUAACCUGCCUGGUAGCGGGGGAUAACUAUUGGAAACGAUAGCUAAUACCGCAUAACAGUAGAUGUUGCAUGACAUUUGCUUAAAAGGUGCAAUUGCAUCACUACCAGAUGGACCUGCGUUGUAUUAGCUAGUUGGUGGGGUAGCGGCUCACCAAGGCGACGAUACAUAGCCGACCUGAGAGGGUGAUCGGCCACACUGGGACUGAGACACGGCCCAAACUCCUACGGGAGGCAGCAGUAGGGAAUCUUCGGCAAUGGACGGAAGUCUGACCGAGCAACGCCGCGUGAGUGAAGAAGGUUUUCGGAUCGUAAAGCUCUGUUGUAAGAGAAGAACGAGUGUGAGAGUGGAAAGUUCACACUGUGACGGUAUCUUACCAGAAAGGGACGGCUAACUACGUGCCAGCAGCCGCGGUAAUACGUAGGUCCCGAGCGUUGUCCGGAUUUAUUGGGCGUAAAGCGAGCGCAGGCGGUUAGAUAAGUCUGAAGUUAAAGGCUGUGGCUUAACCAUAGUACGCUUUGGAAACUGUUUAACUUGAGUGCAAGAGGGGAGAGUGGAAUUCCAUGUGUAGCGGUGAAAUGCGUAGAUAUAUGGAGGAACACCGGUGGCGAAAGCGGCUCUCUGGCUUGUAACUGACGCUGAGGCUCGAAAGCGUGGGGAGCAAACAGGAUUAGAUACCCUGGUAGUCCACGCCGUAAACGAUGAGUGCUAGGUGUUAGACCCUUUCCGGGGUUUAGUGCCGUAGCUAACGCAUUAAGCACUCCGCCUGGGGAGUACGACCGCAAGGUUGAAACUCAAAGGAAUUGACGGGGGCCCGCACAAGCGG
rnacentral:rRNA from 1 species